rnacentral:rRNA from 1 species
GUGGAAGCGUCUGGAAAGGCGCGCGAUACAGGGUGACAGCCCCGUACACAAAAGCGCAUGUGCUGUGAGCUCGAUGAGUAGGGCGGGACACGUGGUAUCCUGUCUGAAUAUGGGGGGACCAUCCUCCAAGGCUAAAUACUCCUGACUGACCGAUAGUGAACCAGUACCGUGAGGGAAAGGCGAAAAGAACCCCGGCGAGGGGAGUGAAAAAGAACCUGAAACCGUGUACGUACAAGCAGUGGGAGCCCCACCACUAAGCCAGUGGUGAACUCCACAUACGCAUCCUUUGCUGAGGAUACGGUUAACGGAGCGAAAGCGACGUUCAACCUCAAAAGAAGCAGAGGGGGCUUAGUGGUGGGGUGACUGCGUACCUUUUGUAUAAUGGGUCAGCGACUUAUAUUCUGUAGCAAGGUUAACCGAAUAGGGGAGCCGGAGGGAAACCGAGUCUUAACCGGGCGUUAAGUUGCAGGGUAUAGACCCGAAACCCGGUGAUCUAGCCAUGGGCAGGUUGAAGGUUGGGUAACACUAACUGGAGGACCGAACCGACUAAUGUUGAAAAAUUAGCGGAUGACCUGUGGCUGGGGGUGAAAGGCCAAUCAAACCGGGAGAUAGCUGGUUCUCCCCGAAAGCUAUUUAGGUAGCGCCUCGUGAAUUCAUCUCCGGGGGUAGAGCACUGUUUCGGCUAGGGGGCCAUCCCGGCUUACCAACCCGAUGCAAACUGCGAAUACCGGAGAAUGUUAUCACGGGAGACACACGGCGGGUGCUAACGUCCGUCGUGAAGAGGGAAACAACCCAGACCGCCAGCUAAGGUCCCAAAGUCAUGGUUAAGUGGGAAACGAUGUGGGAAGGCCCAGACAGCCAGGAUGUUGGCUUAGAAGCAGCCAUCAUUUAAAGAAAGCGUAAUAGCUCACUGGUCGAGUCGGCCUGCGCGGAAGAUGUAACGGGGCUAAACCAUGCACCGAAGCUGCGGCAGCGACGCUUAUGCGUUGUUGGGUAGGGGAGCGUUCUGUAAGCCUGUGAAGGUGGCCUGUGAGGGUUGCUGGAGGUAUCAGAAGUGCGAAUGCUGACAUAAGUAACGAUAAAGCGGGUGAAAAGCCCGCUCGCCGGAAGACCAAGGGUUCCUGUCCAACGUUAAUCGGGGCAGGGUGAGUCGACCCCUAAGGCGAGGCCGAAAGGCGUAGUCGAUGGGAAACGGGUUAAUAUUCCCGUACUUGGUGUUACUGCGAAGGGGGGACGGAGAAGGCUAUGUUGGCCGGGCGACGGUUGUCCCGGUUUAAGCGUGUAGGUGUGUGUUCCAGGUAAAUCCGGUUCACUUUAACACUGAGGCGUGAUGACGAGGCACUACGGUGCUGAAGCAACAAAUGCCCUGCUUCCAGGAAAAGCCUCUAAGCAUCAGGUAACAUCAAAUCGUACCCCAAACCGACACAGGUGGUCAGGUAGAGAAUACCAAGGCGCUUGAGAGAACUCGGGUGAAGGAACUAGGCAAAAUGGUGCCGUAACUUCGGGAGAAGGCACGCUGACACGUAGGUGAAGUGAUUUACUCA